GAAAGUAAAAGUCGUAACAAGGUUUCCGUAGGUGAACCUGCGGAAGGAUCAUUAUUGUAUAACCGAGGUGCGAGGGCUGUCGCUGACCCGAAAGGUCGUGCACGCCCGAGUGCCCUCACACACAUCCAUCUCACCCCUAUGUGCACCACCGCGUGGGUCCCCCUUUGGCUUGUUCGGAGGGGGGCUUACGCUUUCACACAAACUUUGUAUGCAGUGUAGAAUGUAUUUUUUGUUUUUGCGAUCACGCAAUCAAUACAACUUUCAACAACGGAUCUCUUGGCUCUC
rnacentral:misc_RNA from 1 species